ensembl:lncRNA AC111319.1
UGGAAGCCUUGGGGCACAGCCCAGGGAGGACAUAAGGGAAAGGGGUCCAUCCAUGACCUUGAAAUGAUGUAAAGAGAAUCUCCAUGAGUUAUCUCUAUAGAAAACUCACAAAGGGGUCUGAGGCUAUCUUAAAAUGAUGGCUUGUUGGUGUGUUUGGCUGGGGAGAAAAGUGGCUAGGAGAUGGUAGAAUAGAAAAUUUAGAAUCAGGUUUCUAAAUCCCAAAAGCCCCUUUCCGUCUCUCACUAGCACUGGUAUAUACUUUCAUUAACAAGGUUACGAAUUUUGAUACAACACAAGUAAUAGAACAGGGCCAUGCCAUUGGUUUUCUAGCAACUUCUCCUGUUUCCCAAACAUAUAUUCUGAAGCCCUUCUUUAAGGUUGGGAGUUCUCUAUAGAGAUCACUCACGAGCCACAGUCUUUGGGUUUGUAACAGGUGAAAAGAACAUGGGUUCCCUUUUAUGUCUCCUUACACAUUGAACCAAACUGUAAACAGUAAUAGAGAAAAUCCAAAACAAACAACAAACCUUUAGACUUACACACUAACCUGCUGCUUCUUGUACCCAUCCUCCCAGACACCAGGCCCCUCGCCCUCCCCUAAGAGUACCAAGCUCUGCUUUGCUUUUGGUGUGUUGCUGUGCCACUCAUGAGGGCUGCAGUCUCUCACGUUAUCCAUGCUGGUCAGCCUGUGUGUGCUGCCAUUAUUGGACAAUAAACUCAGGAGGUGGAACAAGUCUGGAGGCUGCAGGUUCAAGACCUAGGUUGGAGAAGGGUGAGAAGACGGCAUGUGGUGAGAGCCAGUUUCACAGUCUAGAUUUGUAGUGUCAGGAAUCCUCAUUUGCUCAAACCAUAGAUCAUACAAGGUUGCUCACUGCAAAGAAUUACCAGAAAAAUACUAAUAUCCUUUCUGAGAACGUGACACAUGUUAAGUGUUUGAGAAAACCAUGAUGUGUCUAGUCAGUCUCAGGUAUCCCGACCUUUGCAAACCAGAUGCCUGGCAUGCACGGAUAUUCCAGCCUCGGAGUUGAGGCACGGAGAAGAAUGAGGUAUUACAGCUCCAGGAAGAACUGAUGCUGCUGCCUCCCUUGAAGCUGGGUGUGGCCAUGUCCACUUUAAACCAAUGAUAUACAAGCUAUGCUACAUGGAUCUUCUGAGAAAUCUCCUUCUUCCUUUCUUCAGGCUAGAAUAUACAUGCACGUUGCAUACAAUACACAAUAUACAUGCUUCAAGAUACGAUAGCUAGAGACUGUCUUCUCUUUUGCACAGGCAAUCAGUCAAGAAGAAUCAAUGAAUUUACCUUAGGCUCAUAUAAAUAAAACCUCAGUUUCUCUUACAGACUCCAACCUUCACUUAAUACUUACCACAGAACUCCUGUUUUGUUCAUUUGUACAUCACCUUCCCAAGACAGGAAAUUUUUUAAAUUAAUAUUUUCU